rnacentral:rRNA from 1 species
UACGUAGGGGGCAAGCGUUGUCCGGAUUUAUUGGGCGAAAGAGCGUGUAGGCGGUUAGGUAGGUCCGUUGUGAAAACUCGAGGCUCAACCUCGAGACGCCGAUGGAAACCAUCUGACUAGAGUCCGGAAGAGGAGAGUGGAAUUCCUGGUGUAGCGGUGAAAUGCGCAGAUAUCAGGAAGAACACCCUGGCUAAGGCGGCUCUCUAGUACGUGACUGACGCUGAGACGCGAAAAGCGUGGGGGAGCGAACAGG